UACGUAGGGGCAAGGCGUUGUCCGGAUUUAUUGGGCGUAAAGAGCACGCAGGCGGUCUUCUGCGUUCUGAGUGACAGGUGGUGGCUUAACUGCCACAGUGCUUGGAAAACGGGAAGACUUGAGAACUUCAGAGGGAUGCGGAAUUCCAGGUGGAGCGGUGAAAUGCGUAGAGAUCUGGAAGAACACCAAAGGCGAAGGCAGCAUCCUGGGAAGAAU
rnacentral:rRNA from 1 species